rnacentral:rRNA from 1 species
UACAGAGGUCUCAAGCGUUGUUCGGAUUCAUUGGGCGUAAAGGGUGCGUAGGCGGCGCGGUAAGCGGGUGUGAAAUCUUGGAGCUUAACUCCGAAACUGCAUUCGAUACUGCCGUGCUUGAGGACUGGAGAGGAGACUGGAAUUUACGGUGUAGCGGUGAAAUGCGUAGAUAUCGUAAGGAAGACCAGUGGCGAAGGCGGAUCUCUGGACAGCUCCUGACGCUGAGGCGCGAAGGCUAGGGGGAGCAAACGGG